AGGUUGAGGGUUUGGAGCAGUACCUGCAGGACCCAGUGAAGCGGCAUUAUCUGAUCCGAUUCCUGCCUGCCGAGGUGAAGAGACAGCUGCUGCACAGGAGGAAGUACGUCUUCAGUUUUCACGAGAGUCUGCAGCGGCUCUGCUUCAUGGGUUUGCUGCACUUCGGCCCCACUGAGAAGUUCAUGGACAAAGAUCAGGUGUUUGUGUACCUGAAGACCAAGGCCACGAUCGCGGACACCACGGUGUGUGAGCCGCACUACCACCUGGCACUGGAGGGCGCGCGGCCCUUCGAGAGGCGACACUACCAGUUCAGCAGCGCACAGCACGUGGAGAACUACUGGUUUGACCUGCUGUGUGUGUGUCUCAACUCACCGCUAGGUACACACACCUCACACACACACACA